rnacentral:rRNA from 1 species
GAUGAACGCUGGCGGUAUGCCUAACACAUGCAAGUCGAACGAAGCUUUCGGGCUUAGUGGCGGACGGGUGAGUAACGCGUGAGAAUCUGCCUCGAGGAUGGGGACAACAGUUGGAAACGACUGCUAAUACCCAAUAUGCCGUAAGGUGAAAUUUUUUAGCCUUGAGAGGAGCUCGCGUCCGAUUAGUUAGUUGGUGGUGUAAUGGACUACCAAGGCAGCGAUCGGUAGCUGGUCUGAGAGGAUGAGCAGCCACACUGGGACUGAGACACGGCCCAG